CCUACAGUGUGCAGCAGUGAGGAAUAUUGGUCAAUGGGCGCGAGCCUGAACCAGCCAAGUAGCGUGAAGGAUGACUGCCCUACGGGUUGUAAACUUCUUUUAUAAAGGAAUAAAGUGAGGCACGUGUGCCUUUUUGUAUGUACUUUAUGAAUAAGGAUCGGCUAACUCCGUGCCAGCAGCCGCGGUAAUACGGAGGAUCCGAGCGUUAUCCGGAUUUAUUGGGUUUAAAGGGUGCGUAGGCGGCCUUUUAAGUCAGCGGUGAAAGUCUGUGGCUCAACCAUAGAAUUGCCGUUGAAACUGGGGGCCUUGAGUAUGUUUGAGGCAGGCGGAAUGCGUGGUGUAGCGGUGAAAUGCUUAGAUAUCACGCAGAACCCCGAUUGCGAAGGCAGCCUGCCAAGCCAUGACUGACGCUGAUGCACGAAAGCGUGGGUAUCAAACAGGAUUAGAUACCCCAGUAGUC
rnacentral:rRNA from 1 species